rnacentral:tRNA from 1 species
UCAGAUUUAUUAAGGUUAAAAAAGUUACUUACAAUAAUUUAAUUUCUGUUCAAUUCAGUAAAGUCUGAA